rnacentral:rRNA from 1 species
UGAGGAAUAUUGGUCAAUGGGCGAGAGCCUGAACCAGCCAAGUAGCGUGCAGGAUGACGGCCCUAUGGGUUGUAAACUGCUUUUAUAUGGGAAUAAAGUGAGGGACGUGUCCCUUAUUGCAUGUACCAUAUGAAUAAGGACCGGCUAAUUCCGUGCCAGCAGCCGCGGUAAUACGGAAGGUCCAGGCGUUAUCCGGAUUUAUUGGGUUUAAAGGGAGCGUAGGCUGUUUGUUAAGCGUGUUGUGAAAUGUAAGAGCUCAACUUUUAGAUUGCAGCGCGAACUGGCAGACUUGAGUGCGCACAACGUAGGCGGAAUUCGUGGUGUAGCGGUGAAAUGCUUAGAUAUCAUGACGAACUCCGAUUGCGAAGGCAGCUUACGGGAGCGCAACUGACGCUAAAGCUCGAAGGUGCGGGUAUCGAACAGG